UUUAAUUUCUAAAAAAUGACAAGUUUUGUAGUGUACAAUAUGUUGGUUGCACCAUAUUUUAUUUUAUUUUUUUAAAUAAUGAAUUUUAGAAUACUUGAGCAAUACAAAUUAUUAUUUCUAAGUUACAAUUUAAGCUAAAUAUUUUUAUCAUGAUGCUUUUGCUCAUUUUCAGUCCUAGAGAAUCCAACAAAUAUUAAUACACAGAAGAGAGGGCAAAAGAAAGCAAAUGGGUGUCUUGAAUUUUGCAAUUAACCCCAUUUGCCCAUAUGAUGUGAUAGUCGUUCACACUAUUUCUUUAUAUGGAAAAAGCAAUUACCUUCUCUCUGAAACGGUGUGCCAUGGAGAAACAUUGAAUCUAUGAAGACAGUUGAGCUGUACCAAACAAAAUGUUUACUAUAAUAAGAUAAAUUCUGCCAAGAUGAUCUGAAACAAGAAGACAGAGACCUACAGUGAAACACACAAACUAGAAACAUGACACUUGAAAUACCUCCAACCCAGAAGGUGUUAAUUUCAGAAGACACUCCAGGCUUCACAUCUCGCAGGAAAAAGAAAAACAUAUUCCCCACUGAUGACAAUAGAUGAACCACUCUAUGUAUCUAAGUAUAUAUUUCUACCAACUCCCAUACAUAUAUUCUCUGGGGCAUCCUCUGCCCCGUUACCUCUUUCUGUUGGGGUACCGCAAGGCUCUGUCCUCAAUCCCCUUCUCUUCUCAAUCUACACAUCCUCACUAGGUUUCUUAAUAAAGUCCCAUGGGUUUCAUUAUCAUUUGUAUGCCGACGAUACCCAAAUCUACCUCUCUGCACCAGAACUACCUCCUUCCUUGCUAACCCAUGCCACUUACUGUCUCUCUCAUAUCUCAUCUUGGAUGUCCUCUCACUACCUCAAGCUAAAUCUCUCCAAAACUGAGCUCCUUAUUUUCCUCCCUUCUUCCAAAAUCUCCACCCCCCCAUGUCUCUAUAACUGUUGAUAAACUCCAUCAUUACCCCAAACUCACAUGCCCGAUGCCUUGGGGUCACACUGGAGUCAAAUCUUUCUUUCACUCCUCACAUUCAGUCCUUGGCUAAAGCCUGCUGCUUCCACCUUAAAAACAUCGCUAAAAUUAGACAUUUCCUUACAGAAGACGCAACAAAGAUUUUAAUCCACUGUCUCAUUCUUUCCCGCCUCGACUACAGCAACUCUAUCCUCUCUGGUCUCCCUAGCUGCCGCCUAGCUCCUUUACAAUCCAUAAUGAAUGCCUCUGCCAGGCUCAUCUUCCUUGCACGUCGCUCUUCAUCUGCCGCACCUCUCUGCCAAUCCCUUCACUGGCUUCCUCUUGCCUCCAGGAUUAGACACAAAAUUCUCACUCUGACACACAAAGCCCUCAAUUGCACUGCUUCCCCCUACAUCUCAGACCUUGUCUCCAGAUACUCUCUCUCCCAUCCCCUUCGGUCUGCUCAUGAUCUCCUACUCUCCUCCUCUCUUGUUACCUCCUCACAUUCCCGUCUUCAAGAUCUCUCCAGAUUGGCUCCCAUCUUAUGGAACUCUCUGCCUCGCUCCACAAGAAUCUCCCCUAGUUUUAAAAGCUUCAAGUGCUCCCUGAAGACUCUACUAUUCAGGGACGCUUACAACCUACACUAACCUUCCUAUCUCCACUGCUAUCCCCUUAAACCCCAUAGCAUGUAAGCCUGUGAGCCCAGCUGUUUGUAGUUCACCUUCAUAAGAGCUGACUACAACAGUGCAACUCUCGGCAGGACCCUCUCUCCCAAUUUGAUCCCUGUAAUCGUUUUUAUAUACCACCUAUGUUCAUAGCGCUGCGGAACCUGUUGGCGCUCUACAAAUACCUGAUAAUAAUAAAAAAAUAUAUUUCUUAACACGUAAAUCAUUUUACUACAGUAAUUUAAAUGCUAAUACAUAAUAGUACAUUUAAAAGUUUGUACGAUUAUUUUUUAUCAUAUCUUAACCUUUUAGUGACCGGACAGUUUUACAAAUUUUGUACCCUUAGUGACAAUGGGGCCAAAUUAUCAAGCCCCUGUUUUCGUGCCAGCCUUCAGGCUCGCCGGAAACAGCAGUUGUCUAAAGACCGCUGCUCCAUAACUUGUCCACCUGCUCUCGGGCUGAUUGACACCCUCUGCUAGUGGCCGAUUGGCCGCGAAUCUGCAGGGGGCGGCAUUGCACAAGCAGUUCACAAGAACUGCUUGUGCAAUGAUAAAUGCCGACAGUGUAUGCUGUGGCGUAUGUGCGGCGGACAUGAUACGCUACAUCGUAUCAUGUCCGUCCGCACUUUAAUAAAUCGGCCUAAGGGCUGUUUUUACAUUUCUGCUGCUGUGUUUGUGUUUAGCUGUAAUUUUCCUCUCUAUCAUUUAAUGUACCCAUACAUAUUAUAUAUUGUUUUUCUCGCCAUAAUAAGGGCUUUCUUUAGAUACCAUUAUUUUCAUCAUAUCAUGUAAUGCAUUUAAAAAAAAAAAUUAAUAAAAUAUGUUAGAAAUUGGAAAAAA